GCCCGCCUAGCUCAAUCGGAUAGAGCGUCAGACUCUUAUACGUGUUCCCCCAAAGCGGUGAUCUGAAGGCUGCGAGUUCGACCCUCGCGGUGGGCU